GACAAGGUGACCGAGUGGUUUAGGCGAUGGACUGGUAGUCCAUUGGGCGCUGCCCGCGUGGGUUUGAAUCCCAUCUUUGUCG